rnacentral:rRNA from 1 species
GAUGAACGCUGGCGGCGUGCCUAAUACAUGCAAGUCGAGCGAACGGACGAGAAGCUUGCUUCUCUGAUGUUAGCGGCGGACGGGUGAGUAACACGUGGAUAACCUACCUAUAAGACUGGGAUAACUUCGGGAAACCGUAGCUAAUACCGGAUAAUAUUUUGAACCGCAUGGUUCAACAGUGAAAGACGGUCUUGCUGUCACUUAUAGAUGGAUCCGCGCUGCAUUAGCUAGUUGGUAAGGUAACGGCUUACCAAGGCAACGAUGCAUAGCCGACCUGAGAGGGUGAUCGGCCACACUGGAACUGAGACACGGUCCAGACUCCUACGGGAGGCAGCAGUAGGGAAUCUUCCGCAAUGGGCGAAAGCCUGACGGAGCAACGCCGCGUGAGUGAUGAAGGUCUUCGGAUCGUAAAACUCUGUUAGUAGGGAAGAACAUAUGUGUAAGUAACUGUGCACAUCUUGACGGUACCUAAUCAGAAAGCCACGGCUAACUACGUG